AGUGAACGCUGGCGGUAGGCCUAACACAUGCAAGUCGAACGGCAGCACAGUAAGAGCUUGCUCUUACGGGUGGCGAGUGGCGGACGGGUGAGGAAUACAUCGGAAUCUACUUUUUCGUGGGGGAUAACGUAGGGAAACUUACGCUAAUACCGCAUACGACGUACGGGUGAAAGCAGGGGAUCUUCGGACCUUGCGCGAUUGAAUGAGCCGAUGUCGGAUUAGCUAGUUGGCGGGGUAAAGGCCCACCAAGGCGACGAUCCGUAGCUGGUCUGAGAGGAUGAUCAGCCACACUGGAACUGAGACACGGUCCAGACUCCUACGGGAGGCAGCAGUGGGGAAUAUUGGACAAUGGGCGCAAGCCUGAUCCAGCCAUGCCGCGUGUGUGAAGAAGGCCUUCGGGUUGUAAAGCCCUUUUGUUUGGAAAGAAAAGCAGCAGGUUAAUACCCCGCUGUUCUGACGUUACCCAAAGAAUAAGCACCGGCUAACUUCGUG
rnacentral:rRNA from 1 species